rnacentral:rRNA from 1 species
UACGUAGGGUGCGAGCGUUGUCCGGAAUUAUUGGGCGUAAAGAGCCUGUAGGCGGUUUGUCGCGUCUGCUGUGAAAAUCCGGGGCUCAACCCCGGACUUGCAGUGGGUACGGGCAGACUAGAGUGUGGUAGGGGAGACUGGAAUUCCUGGUGUAGCGGUGAAAUGCGCAGAUAUCAGGAGGAACACCGAUGGCGAAGGCAGGUCUCCGGGCCACUACUGACGCUGAGAAGCGAAAGCAUGGGGAGCGAACAGG